UACGUAGGGGGCUAGCGUUGUUCGGAAUUACUGGGCGUAAAGCGCACGUAGGCGGCUUUGUAAGUUAGAGGUGAAAGCCCAGGGCUUAACCCUGGAAUUGCCUUUAAGACUGCAUCGCUAGAAUCGUGGAGAGGUGAGUGGAAUUCCGAGUGUAGAGGUGAAAUUCGUAGAUAUUCGGAAGAACACCAGUGGCGAAGGCGACUCACUGGCUCAUUACUGACGCUCAGGCGCGAUAGCGUGGGGAUCAAACAGG
rnacentral:rRNA from 1 species